rnacentral:tRNA from 1 species
GCUGACGUAGCUCAACCGGCAGAGCACCUGUUUUGUAAACAGGCGGUUAGGGGUUCGACUCCCCUCGUCAGCU